rnacentral:lncRNA from 1 species
GCCACCGAGCAGGGCGCUCCCGGAGCCGGCGCGUUUGAGGACGGGGUCGCCUCCAGGAACUGCUUCUGUUCCUUGUGUUCGCGGUUCGUUUUUCUUCUGAAAAGAAAGCCUGUGUUUCAACACGGGUGCUUGGUCUCCACGUGGCAAAGCAGCUCUGUCACCACGCAGUGCACAGGGCAGGCUUGCAGAGCACGAGUGACCCCCGAUGUCCUUUAACGCCGCCUUCUUCCUGCUGCCUCUCAGGGUCUUCGGUCUCGGCACCGGGUCCCUCCCCUUUCCAUGCAGCUCUGCAGUGACGCUGGUUUGGGGCUCGUUUGGGCUGAAGUUAGCUGUGGGUUUCCCAAACUGACUGAGAUGAGUGCUCGGUGCGGGCAGAGGCGCCGACGGGAGAGGUAAAAAGCCGUAGGCGGCGGCACAGGGACUAAAACGAGCGUCACCACCAGACGCAGCCCGCAGCUGAGGAGCUCGGGCUCACCCCGCUCUGAACCCCGGGUAGAGGCUCAGGUCCGGGAGCAGUUGGUUUGUUCCGGUCUCCGCAGUCAGAACUCUGGGCCUCUGCUCCUCUGUACCUGCAGGGGCGCCCAUGCCCCGUCGCCCCGUCGCCGCCUCCGUCAGAUCAUCGGGCCCUGGGUUCUCAGGAGGAGCGGAGUCCUCAGCCCUCGCAGGCAGCCCCACUGCGGACCCGGCCACAGACAGGCGCUGGGCCCUUCCUGCCUGGUCUCCAUAACCCUGUUACUCGGGACUUACCCGGUCACUUCCGGGGAGAGGAGGGCUCACGGGUAGCAGGGUACAUGAAAACACUGUGCAGUUUUCAGGGGCACCUGCCCCCCAGUGCAGGAAGAGCCCCUCUCCCAGGCCCUCAGACAGCCCAGAUGGGAGAGGGCGCGGCAUCUCCACUCACCUUCCUUGCAGUCACUCGUUUCAUCUAAGAAGAAAGAGGGGAGAGAGGAAGAGGAGGAAGAAGAAAAGUCACCAGUGAAUCCUGAAUUGGAAGGAGACCCAACUGCCCCGAACACCCAGCUCCCCACAGCAGCAGGAGGAGCUCACGUCUCACUGAGGAGCAGCCGCCAGCCGGAGUGCACGUGGAAAAGAGGAGACAGCAGGAUAAACCGUCAGUGCCCGGCCCAGAGCUGUGGAUGCCCUAACUCCACGUGCCCUGCGGGGUGAGACAGGGUUUGGGACAGUGCAGCGAACAGAGCCCGAGGCGUCUCCGGCCUCCCGGCCCAGGUCCACCCACCCUGGGCCCAGGCAUCGUGGGACACUCAGCUGGGAUCCGGAAGCUCAGAUUUCGGGGUUCUGGGGUUGGGGUGCUCGACUUGUAAAGCCUAAGCAAAUAUCCCAACUUCUGAAAAGAAGUCUGAGACCUGAGACCUGUCUGGGGCCAAGCAUUUCUGACAAGGAAAUGCAACCUGCUGGGGACUCAGAGCCUGGGCGGCCCUGGGGAAGCAGCCAGUUCGGCGCCUUGGGGAGCCUGAGACCGGGAGGCCGAGGUGCGGGGGGGCCAGCACAUUCAGUGCUCUUGCUGGAGCCCACAAACCAC